UACGUAGGGUGCGAGCGUUGUCCGGAAUUAUUGGGCGUAAAGAGCUUGUAGGCGGUUUGUCGCGUCUGCUGUGAAAAUCCGGGGCUCAACCCCGGACUUGCAGUGGGUACGGGCAGACUAGAGUGUGGUAGGGGAGACUGGAAUUCCUGGUGUAGCGGUGGAAUGCGCAGAUAUCAGGAGGAACACCGAUGGCGAAGGCAGGUCUCUGGGCCACUACUGACGCUGAGGAGCGAAAGCGUGGGGAGCAAAAGGG
rnacentral:rRNA from 1 species